UACGAAGGGGGCUAGCGUUGCUCGGAAUCACUGGGCGUAAAGCGCACGUAGGUGGGUCGUUAAGUCGGGGGUGAAAUCCUGGAGCUCAACUCCAGAACUGCCUUCGAUACUGGCGAUCUUGAGUCCGGGGAGAGGUGAGUGGAACUGCGAGUGUAGAGGUGAAAUUCGUAGAUAUUCGCAAGAACACCAGUGGCCGAAGGCGGCUCACUGGCCCGGUACUGACGCUGAGGUGCGAAAGCGUGGGGGAGCAAACAGGAUAGAUACC
rnacentral:rRNA from 1 species